AUGAAUGCAGGUGCUUCCUCACAGAUCACUCUGACGGAGACUGGUGGUGGCAUCAAGAGGGCAGGAGAGACCCUGCAAUUGACCUGCACUGUGUCUUUUGAAUUAACAAACAGUCCCGUGGGCUGGAUUCGCCAGCCAACAGGAAAAGGCUUGGAGUGGAUUGUAACCAUCUACAGGGAUGGAAGUGCUAACUACAACCCUACUCUCCGAGGCCGGAUCACCAUCACAAGGGACACCUCCAAAAGGCAAGUUUUCUUGCAACUGAACAGUCUGAAAGCUGAAGAUUCCUCCAUGUAUUACUGUGUGAGAGACACAGUGAGAAAAGUCUUAUCAGAGGCAGGCUAA